AACCGUGCAAAGGUAGCAUAAUCACUUGCCUAUUAAUUGUAGGCUAGAAUGAAUGGGUUAACGAAAUAAAAACUGUCUCAAUUAAUUAACUAAAAAUUAUUAUUUACCUGAAGAAAAGUAAAUACCCUCGAAAGACAAGAAGACCCUAUAGAGCUUAAUUUUACCUAUAGAAAACACACUAUAAAAAUAUUCGGUUGGGGCGACCCAGGGCUAAACAAUCACCCAGCAAUUAAAAGAUACAUAUAUCAAACAAGUGACCCUCAAAAGAUCAUAAGAACAAGCUACCUUAGGGAUAACAGGCUAAUCCCACUAAAGAGUCCAUAUCAACAGUGGGGCUUGGCACCUCGAUGUUGCUUAGGGAAUCUAUGUGGCGCAAAGUCAUAUAAAGAUGGUUUGUUCAACC
rnacentral:rRNA from 1 species